GUCUAUGGCCAUGCUACCCUGAACAAGCCUGAUCCCGUCUGAUCUUGGAAGUUAAGCAGGGUCGGGCCUGGUUAGUACUUGGAUGGGAGACCACCUAGAAAGACCAGGUGCUGUAGGCA
rnacentral:rRNA from 1 species